AUUGAACGCUGGCGGCAGGCCUAACACAUGCAAGUCGAACGAGUGGCGGACGGGUGAGUAAUGUCUGGGAAACUGCCUGAUGGAGGGGGAUAACUACUGGAAACGGUAGCUAAUACCGCAUACCAUCGGAUGUGCCCAGAUGGGAUUAGUUAGUAGGUGGGGUAACGGCUCACCUAGGCGACGAUCCCUAGCGGGUCUGAGAGGCGGACCAGCCACACUGGAACUGAGACAGGGUCCAGAUUCCUAGGGGAGGCAGCAGUGGGGAAUAUUGCACAAUGGGCGAAGGCCUGAUGCAGCCAUGCGGCGGGUAUGAAGAAGGCCUUCGGGUUGUAAAGUACGUUCAGCGGGGAGGCGUUACCCGCAGAAGAAGCAACGGCUAACUCCGUGCCAGCAGCCGCGGUAAUAC
rnacentral:rRNA from 1 species